rnacentral:rRNA from 1 species
UGGGGAAUAUUGGACAAUGGGCGAAAGCCUGAUCCAGCCAUGCCGCGUGUGUGAAGAAGGUCUUCGGAUUGUAAAGCACUUUAAGUUGGGAGGAAGGGCAUUAACCUAAUACGUUAGUGUCUUGACGUUACCGACAGAAUAAGCACCGGCUAACUCUGUGCCAGCAGCCGCGGUAAUACAGAGGGUGCAAGCGUUAAUCGGACUUACUGGGCGUAAAGCGCGCGUAGGUGGUUUGUUAAGUUGAAUGUGAAAUCCCCGGGCUCAACCUGGGAACUGCAUCCAAAACUGGCAAGCUAGAGUAUGGUAGAGGGUAGUGGAAUUUCCUGUGUAGCGGUGAAAUGCGUAGAUAUAGGAAGGAACACCAGUGGCGAAGGCGACUACCUGGACUGAUACUGACACUGAGGUGCGAAAGCGUGGGGAGCAAACA